rnacentral:rRNA from 1 species
GGGGGGGGGGGGGGGGGGGGGGGGUGGGGGCGGGGCGGGCGGUGGAGGACGCGGCUUGCAGAGGGCGGAUGAGGGGCGAACGGGUGAGGAACGCGGGGGAAAUCUGCCGAGAAGGGGGGGAUAACGUUCGGACACGGGUGCUAAUACCGCAUAUAUUCUUGGACCGCCGGGUCCUUGACAGAAAGACGGCUUUGCUGUCGCGUACACGUGACCCCGCGGCGUAUUAGUUAGUUGGUGGGGUAAAGGCCUACCACGACAAUGAUACGUAGCCGACCUGAGAGGGUGAUCGGCCACACUGGGACUGAGACACGGCCCAGACUCCUACGGGAGGCAGCAGUAGGGAAUCUUCCACAAUGGGCGAAAGCCUGAUGGAGCAAUGCCGCGUGAAUGAAGAAGGUCUUCGGAUCGUAAAGUUCUGUUAUUAGAGAAGAACAAGUCAAGGAGUAACUGUCUUGACUUUGACGGUACCUAACCAGAAAGUCACGGCUAACUACGUG